UCGGUAGACGCUACGGACUUAAAAUCCGUCGACUUUAGAAAUCGUGAGGGUUCAAGUCCCUCUAUCCC
rnacentral:tRNA from 1 species